rnacentral:rRNA from 1 species
UAUCCCCUACGGGACGCAGCAGUGAGGAAUAUUGGUCGAUGGUCGGGAGACUGAACCAGCCAAGCCGCGUGAGGGAUGAAGGUACAGAGUAUCGUAAACCUCUUUUGUCAGGGAACAAAGGCGGGGACGUGUCCCCGGAUGAGUGUACCUGAAGAAAAAGCAUCGGCUAACUCCGUGCCAGCAGCCGCGGUAAUACGGAGGAUGCGAGCGUUAUCCGGAUUUAUUGGGUUUAAAGGGUGCGCAGGCGGUCUGUUAAGUCAGCGGUCAAAGCCCGGGGCUCAACCACGGCGCGCCGUUGAAACUGG